rnacentral:ncRNA from 2 species
UACAGUGACCGCGUCGAUGGUCCCGUCGUCCGUCCUGCGGACGGCGGGGGCAAGAGGGAACCCGGUGCGAGUCCGGGACUGCCCCGCAGCGGUAUCUGGGAACGACCGCCGUCAUCGAGCACUGGGCCCGAGCCGAGAUCGGCCUCGCCCGGGAAGCGACGGCCAGUAGGUGGACCUCACGCGUCCCUGCCCACGAGUCCGAAGACCUGCCACCGAUCUGCCCGGCGA